GGCACCAGUGAUUGUUUCACCAAUUUUCUCGACUCAUAGUUCCCUUCCUCUAUCCACGCAACGUUGCCCAUUGUUGCUAAGUUGUUAAUUCAUCAGGCCCAUUAUUGCUGCUACAUAGUCUGUUCAUCUUGCCUGCCUUCUUAGGAGAAACCAAUUUACUGAAGGUUGGCAAUUCCAAAGUUAUUGCCUUUCUACUUCAAACUGAAAUAAUUCCUCUUUGUCUUUAAUAUGGAGAUGGGCACUGAACUU